UUUAUCCCUAAUUAAAGUUUUUUCAAAAGUUCAAAAGUGCCUGUUUACCAAGGAGAUGUCAGUGAAGAGCUUGAGAUGACAAAUGUGACAUACACAAAGAAACAUCAAGGUGCGUCACAAUCCUGCGAGAUGAGCAUGUGAACCCGAACACGACAUGCGGAUUCCACAAUUCGGACCAGAUGCCAAAAUAGCAGUCAGAUGAUUCCACCCGCGUGCAAAAGCCAAACCAGAGCCAUCACAAAAGGUGACCGUAAUGAAGUCAGAAGAAAGUCUGACAGGAUUGAAACGACAUCAAGGCUGUUUGCAACCCAACCAGAAUGACGCUGUACACCGUAUUGGAUGGUCAGUUCAUCCUGACGGACGUCUCUGUCGCUCACCUGUAGAUGCAGGUGUAUCCUAGUUCAACUCGUUCACUGUAGCUAAAGGAAGACGUUUGUCUAGACAGCAUGUCCUAGGAUACAUUUAACCCCUCGAUGAAGCAUACACAAUCUGUCCAAAACCUUUUAAACGCUGCCAUCCCUCACCAGUCCUUCUUUGUUGUAAAGUAAUGAACACUACAGGUGAUGAACAUUUUCAAAAGGUCUAAAACGGAGCUAGUGUUCACAGGAACCUGGCUCCCCAAGGCCUCAAGACACUGUUGUGUCGUACUGCACUUCAUUUGAAUUAAUGUGUUGCAUGAGUUAUAUUUACACUGUCGACCAAUUAAGAUUUAUUUUUAUGUCUUGCAUCUUGUUGCAUGCAUUGCGGCUUGACCUCCCCUCACUUUGAACACAACUCUGUUCUAAGAACGUUUUCCCAUUAAGUUAAGAAAACGUUAAUUCUGAAUGUUCUCUGAAUCCAGUUUAUUAAAUGUUUUAAAAUCAUUUAUUCUAAAGGAACAUUCUAUUUUGUGAACAUUAUUGGAAUGUUACUUUUGAAUGUUCUCUGAACAUUCUAAAACAGGCAGCAACAUUUAAAAAAUGUCAGAUGAACGUCCAACUAAAACGUUUCAGAAAAAAAAAACAUUCCAUGAACGAUGUAUAAAUAAUGUUUUUGUGCUAACAUUUUGAGAACACGAUUAAAGACCGGAUAACGGUGAAUGAGCGUUCUAUAAAUGUUACUGGAACGUUUGCUCAUAACUUUGAGAGAACCUUGCCAGAACAUUCUGAGACUGCUCUAUGUUAGCUGGUUUUAUGUCUGGUAAAACACCACAGAAAUUUAAACACAUGCAAAAUGGAAAUUAAGGCAGAAACUGCUGAAAACACAGAAUUGGAUCGUCAACAAAGCUGGAAUUGCUGGAAUUCAGCUAUGCUAAAAUCAAAUAUUCAACGUUCUGAAAAGUCUGACGCACAAAACGCAAGGAAAAGAAAUGUCCAAAAGAAACAUUCGUCCGAUAGACUGGAAGACGUGAAGAAAUCCCCCCCCCCCCAUUUCACCUGCCAUCUGUGGGAAACCUCCUGUGGUGCGUUCAGUUAGCGCACGGUUGGGCUGCGUGAGCGCGUUUGCCAAGUAAAGCCAUGAGUCAUGAAGCCACUGGGAUGUUAAACACAUUGGCCAUUUCCUGCUGAGUCACAGCACUCGUUUAGUCAUUAUGCUGUGAUUAGCUGCACUGCUAAAUGGAUAAGUGAGUAGCAGUAGCAGUAGCGAGCAGCCGAGAAGAAACGUCAGGUCGAAUGAAGGGUGCGCAUUGGCUCUUGAGGAGCGUUCGCUCCACAGCGCUUGACAGCUGUGAUUGUUUUCAGUAAAAAGAUGAAUUGUGUUAGAAGUUGCACAUUACAUAGAGGGAUAUAGUGGUAAAAACAAGGUCUGAGAACUAUAAACUUAGUGCACAAGUUUGCAUCUAUGCAAACUCAAGUGACAAUGCUUAUUAAUAGGUUGUAAACAAUUAGAAACAGUACAAUAAAAGCGGCAAUAACACUUGCAUAUCUGAACUAUAGUAAAAGACAUCAUAACGUGCAAUAUUACAGUGAAAUCUGCAACUGAAAUCAACUAUAAUUAGAGUUA